AUUGAACGCUGGCGGCAUGCUUUACACAUGCAAGUCGAACGGAUCUAGGGGCUUGCUCCUAGGUUAGUGGCGAACGGGUGAGUAAUGCAUCGGAACGUGCCCAGUCGUGGGGGAUAACGCAGCGAAAGCUGCGCUAAUACCGCAUACGAUCUAUGGAUGAAAGCGGGGGACCGUAAGGCCUCGCGCGAUUGGAGCGGCCGAUGGCAGAUUAGGUAGUUGGUGGGGUAAAGGGUCACCAAGCCAAAGAUCUGUAGCUGGUCUGAGAGGACGACCAGCCACACUGAGAAUGAGACACGGCCCAGACUCCUGCGGGAGGCAGCAGUGGGGAAGCUUAGACAAUGGGCGGAAGCCUGAUCUAGCAAUGCCGCGUGUGGGAUGACGGCGCUUUGCGUUGUAAACCACUGUCGGACGGGACGAAAGGGAGCCUUUGGCUCCUGGGACGGUACCGUCAAAGGAAGGGUCGGCUAACUACGUGCCAGCCGCCGCAGUAACAC
rnacentral:rRNA from 1 species